UGGUUCUGUGUGUCUGAGUUUUGCAGGUAGGGUUGAGCAGGUUGCCAUGGGGAUGAAGGGCGGAGGCUGGAGCCACAAUUGAUCCCACCUGCAGCGCAUCAGCACCUUCGUUAGCCAGCUUACCUCCCAGCUAUUUAAGAUCAUGCAGGAGCUCCAGUCUUCGCCAGAUUGUCACACUUUACUGCGUGCCUUAGACCUUGCUACCUUGGAUCACCACAGCACCUUGGAUAAAGACUGUCCCUCAUGCCAAGUCGACUGCCUGCCUGCUCGCCCUGCCUGCAAACAAACUCAUUCCACCUCCACCAGCAACCAUCACCUGGCUUACUCCUCCACCGUCAGUCUUCCUCUGGAAUACAGAAGAUCUUCCCGGACCUGGACUAAGCCACUAACUUUUAUUAUAAAUAAACAUUGUUUGCAUCUCACUCCUUGUCUCACUAAGUGUUCUGCAUUUGGGUCUG